GUCAGCACGGGUGAACUCCAAGGACAAAAAGACCAAAAGUUAAGUCCACCCCCAGUGCAAGCUUUCCAGUAGAUACCGUGUUUUGAGUGUUAAAACUUCCCAAUGUCCGACCAACAUGAAAAAACAGGAAAUAGGGUCAUAGAAGACAUAC